rnacentral:rRNA from 1 species
GACCGGGAUAACCUUGGGAAACUGAGGAUAAUACUGGAUAGGCAAUUAUUCCUGGAAUGGUUUUUUGUUUAAAUGUUUUUUCGCCUAAGGAUGGGUCUGCGGCCAAUUAGGUAGUUGGUUAGGUAACGGCUUACCAAGCCAUUGAUCGGUACGGGUUGUGAGAGCAAGAGCCCGGAGAUGGAACCUGAGACAAGGUUCCAGGCCCUACGGGGUGCAGCAGGCGCGAAACCUCCGCAAUGUGAGAAAUCGCGACGGGGGGAUCCCAAGUGCCAUUCUUAACGGGAUGGCUUUUCAUUAGUGUAAAGAGCUUUUGGAAUAAGGGCUGGGCAAGACCGGUGCCAGCCGCCGCGGUAACACCGGCAGCUCUAGUGGUAGCAGUUUUUAUUGGGCCUAAAGCGUCCGUAGCCGGUUUAAUAAGUCUCUGGUGAAAUCCUGUAGCUUAACUGUGGGAAUUGCUGGAGAUACUAUUAGACUUGAGACCGGGAGAGGUUAGAGGUACUCCCAGGGUAGAGGUGAAAUUCUGUAAUCCUGGGAGGACCGCCUGUUGCGAAGGCGUCUAACUGGAACGGUUCUGACGGUGAGGGACGAAAGUUAGGGGCGCGAACCGGAUUAGAUACCCGGGUAGUCCUAACCGUAAACGAUGCGGACUUGGUGUUGGGGUGGCUUUGAGCUGCUCCAGUGCCGAAGGGAAGCUGUUAAGUCCGCCGCCUGGGAAGUACGGUCGCAAGACUGAAACUUAA